GUUGGACUCAGUAAAUGGCUGUGCAUAUGUCCAGCAUCAAAUCACAAUGAUAUUGCCUCUCCUUAUGCAUAACUGCCCCUCAAGGUGCUAUUGUUAUGUGAUUGGUAAUAUGGCAUAUUUCUGAAGCCUGCUGAGACCUGAAGAAAAUUCUAGGUCUCUCCUCACCUUUGAGAAAUAUAAAACCCUAAUAAAUCAAAAUUCAGGAAAAAUGGGACUGAUCCUCUACAUUUUGACAUAAAAGGUAGCUGUGCAUUGUGUAAUGGAUGUGUAGCCUAACUAUACCCCAUAAGGUGUUGAUGCUGGAAACAGGGAGGCAACAGCCCGGCUGACUCUAUCUUGAGGCUGAUCAGGAUCUGAGCUUGUGAGGAUGGAGGUGUUCCCUGGGACUGGAAAAUGCCGUCAGGUCAAGUCUGACUCAGGCUCAGAGACUGAAUGCUUACAAGUGCAGAGACUGAAUGCUUAUGGGGCAAUAAAACCUGGGGGAAAAAAGCAGUGAGGAAGUCACAUACCAAGAUAUGACUAAGUAAAGGUUUGCGGCAGAAGCAAGGUGGCAAGGCUGUGAAUAACUGGCUCACCACUCAGGCCCGUGCAAGCAGCAGCAGGAAGAUGACUUCAUCUCCUCCUCCCCUAUGCCAGUGACCUGCAGCUCUGGAUUGCAUACAGCAGCUGCUAAUGCUGGAGGAGCUGCCUGUCCCAGUGGCAACAGUGGCAACAGCAGCAGCUAGGGCAGACUUCCCAGGCUCUACCCUCUUUCUCUGACAUUCAUCAGAUAACAAAGAAGGUCACCCUCCUUGGCGUAGUUCACCUCCAAAUAGGAAACAAUCACUGAUUUUAUAGCAGAACUCGUGAUCAGUUUGUAGCAAAAUGUGAGAUGCAGAGCAAAACCUUUAACCCCAUUUUAAAAAUACUUUUACCAUUCCCUUU